UACGUAGGGUGCGAGCGUUAAUCGGAAUUACUGGGCGUAAAGCGUGCGCAGGCGGUUUUCCAAGACAGAUGUGAAAUCCCCGGGCUUAACCUGGGAACUGCAUUGGUGACUGGCAGGCUUUGAGUGUGGCAGAGGGAGGUAGAAUUCCACGUGUAGCAGUGAAAUGCGUAGAGAUGUGGAGGAAUACCGAUGGCGAAGGCAGCCUCCUGGGCCAACACUGACGCUCAUGCACGAAAGCGUGGGGAGCAAACAGG
rnacentral:rRNA from 1 species